rnacentral:rRNA from 1 species
GACGAACGCUGGCGGCGUGCUUAACACAUGCAAGUCGAACGGAAAGGCCCUGCUUUUGUGGGGUGCUCGAGUGGCGAACGGGUGAGUAGCACGUGAGUAACCUGCCCUUGACUUUGGGAUAACUUCAGGAAACUGGGGCUAAUACCGGAUAGGAGCUCCUGCUGCAUGGUGGGGGUUGGAAAGUUUCGGCGGUUGGGGAUGGACUCGCGGCUUAUCAGCUUGUUGGUGGGGUAGUGGCUUACCAAGGCUUUGACGGGUAGCCGGCCUGAGAGGGUGACCGGCCACAUUGGGACUGAGAUACGGCCCAGACUCCUACGGGAGGCAGCAGUGGGGAAUAUUGCACAAUGGGCGGAAGCCUGAUGCAGCAACGCCGCGUGCGGGAUGACGGCCUUCGGGUUGUAAACCGCUUUCGCCCGUGACGAAGCGUGAGUGACGGUAAUGGGUAAAGAAGCACCGGCUAACUACGUG